GGCAGGCUUGGGGGGGUUGCAGCCCCCCGGGCAACGCCGUGCGUUCCAGCUGCAGCCUUGGGCAACGCUUGCAUGUAUUGAAAACUGCGCCGGGCUCCCGGAGGAACGCGCGCACAACCUUGGGGGAAUCCUCUGAGCAAGGGGCUGGGGGCUGGCUAUAAAAGCCAGAAAAGCGAUGCAGAGGGAAAGGCCGAUGGCAGGGCCAACCCCGGGGCUGUCGGCAGUGACACUGGAGGGGACGUUGCCUUGUGUUGUGCUGGGUCCCCCUCUCCCCGUGGGCCCCGCAUGGAGUGAGGAUGCUGGAUGGAGGAUGCUGGUGUCCUCCCGGCCCUACCAGUGCCGAUCGUUGCCUUUCCCAUGCCUUGACACCCUCUGGAUCCCCACACAAAGCGCCACGAGUGACCUUACCGGGGAACCUCUCCACGUGGCCCCAAGUCAAAGCUCACCUCCGCUCCACACACCGGAGCCAUUAAACCACAUUUGAGCCCAGGCAAAGU